CAAUCGAAGAGAAAAACAACGAUCGCUAAGUAUAGCUGAACUUUCAAACGGGAUCUUCUUCAUACAUGUUAAGCAGAUACUGAUAUCGGAAAACUUAUGAAAUGGCAUCUGCAUAUAAAUCACUGCUCUUCUUCAAGAUCGAAUGUAACUUUAGGUAUUCCGGCGACAUGCUUUCUUAUGAACUUGGCCAAGCUUUUCCGAGUCUGGCCCUGAUAUUUUAAAUAAAGAAAAGUAGGUUGUUCUCGUUUUAGAUCAUUAUUGUAUUUAGACGGCAACGUUGAACUAGAGUCAGUUCUUUGGAAUUCUUCUAAAGAAAAUUGUUUAAAUGUUGCUCAAAAAGGAUAUUUUAAAUAUCAUUUAAAGUCAUUUGAAUUCUUCGUCUAUAAUUUGUUUGUUUCUUUUUUUUGGCAUAGACAAAAUUUCAUUAAAUAUUUUUAUGAAAUAAAAGUUUAACAUUUGAGUUAAGAAAUUAUUUGAUAAUGCAGCAGAAAAUGUUGAAAAAUAACCUUGAAUCUUGUUACUUUUUUUGAAAGCUUGAAACAGUAACAACUUGGACUAAAUAAGAAAAAUUUUGAUUGCAAAAAGAGAGAGAGAGAGAGAAAGAAAAAAAGAGUAAAAAUAUAAUUGUAGACAGAGGAUUAAACUUCCAAGUGUAAGACAUUUAUAAAUGAAUGGGGUAAUAGGUCAUAAUUGCAUAUAAAUGUACAAGACUGCAGUAGUGUGGCUUCAGAAUAAGACAAUUCAGUCACUAAGUGUAAGGUUAAGGUUAAAAUGUUAAAAGCCAUCGAGCUCUAGGUCGAUUAAUAAGAAAAGUCAAUUAGUUGUUAUAUUAUAAACACAGAGCAAUUUUCCAAAAUGUUUAACUAUAAAAUAAAUAUAAAAAAUAUUUUUAUUUACAAUGUCUGCGCUAAAGUAUAAAUAAUUAGAAUUAGAAUUAGAAUUGAUUCAUAUAUCACGUUUAAUUAAAAACAAAUAAAUUUAAUUGUAUUAAAUUAAUUAUUUUUAUUUAAAAUAGCUGAAAGAAAAAAGAUAUUAUAAAUAUAAUAGACAGAUAAGAAUUACAAUUGUUUAUGUAUAAUUAUCAGUGUACUAAAAUGCUAAAAACUUUUCUAUUAAAAUUUUUAGAAUAACAAAUAUGAAAGGAUAAUUACAAAUUAUGUUACGAAUAGUAAUAUAAAAGAAGAAAGGAGAAAGUGCAUUCCAAAACUUAAUUGAAUAAUUAACAUGAAUGAAUCAGCAGUCGCAGUUUGUCAUGAGGGUUGCUUGGGGGCGGUCGUUUUAUGACGUCACCAACACCGCACCCCGUCACGUGGUUCCUUACCAGCUGGCAAUCGAUCGUCGCACAUCCUGUGCCCACCCUCUAUUGCCAACUUUAACGCAGAGAUACUCCACUUUUGACAUUGUGCAAAAAAUUUCCGAUACCCACAAUAAUCCCUUUUAGAUAAUUUUUAAAAUAAUUAACACAACAACAAGCAAGAAAAAAUUUAAAAAAUUAAAGAUUGACAAUAAAAGAAAUUAUUUUUAAUUUGACUAAUAUAUUAUUAUGCUUCAUAGAAACAAUAUAUAUCUAUAUUAAAUAUGUUUGCUAAAUUGUUACACAAACAUUAAGAAUAAAUAAAAUAUAUUAUUUUUUCUAAUUCAAUCUAUGUCAGACACAUUUUUAUGUUGUGGACAAAUAUAAGAAAAAAUUGAGUUAAUGUGUUUAUUUAUACGAGACAUGUUGAAAGUAACAUUUACAUCUCCAAAAUCAAUUCACCGCAAUUUCUGUAAAUCAAUUUGUCGUUCAAUAUUUCAUGAUUCCGUCUAAGUGCAAUGCUUUUCUCAGAGCUCUUUUCGCAGGCGGAAGUGUUGAAAAAAAUUCAUUGGCAUCUUAAAGGAUUGAUGAUGCAGCACAAUGGAACGUAACUCGUUGCCAAGGGAGUUCGGCUUUGGACUUGCUCUCACGUAAUUCUAUACUAGCGUGUACACAGACAGGUCUGGUUCGAGACGUUGCCUGGCAACGUCGUAGUAUCAAUCAAUGCUGAGGAUAGAGAGGAGCCGGAGGAAAUUAACGAAAAAGAAGAAAAAAAAAACAGAAGGAGAACCGAGCAAAAGGCGGUGCAACGAAUUCCGCGCGGCUUUCUCGCUGCCUCCAAUUUUAUCCCGCAAUAAGUAAAUACGUGUUGCAUACUUUACAGUAAACGUGGGCGCUAUUAUUAGCCACUGACGAAAUAUAUAUUGCAUUUUCGCGAAAUUACACGCGAAACUGCAAAUACGCGGAAUAUAAAUAAUCCGAACGCGUACAAAUCGCUAAAACGAAUCGAUUCCGUUAACUAAUUAAUCGAUUUUGCAUUUUAUUAAAUUUUCCGUGUAUUUCUGCUGUUUUCAAAUUUUUAAAAGAGAUUAAUGUUAAAAGAAAGAAAAACUUUACGCAAUAAAUUGAGAAGAUUGCGUGACCAAAUUAUAUCAAAUCUUAUCUGACAGCGAAAAGUCACAUUGUCAGAGCGGAACACAUCGAGCGUGCUUGACGUUGUCAAACUGAUCAGAAGCCCCAAAGCUGAUACGAGAGAAGCCGUUUUUUAAUGCUCACAGUUGGGUGGCGUUACUUAAUUCUAACCGACCCCCGCAGGUUUUGACUGCAGUAUCAGUAUCAGAAACAGCGCGAUUAAAUCCAAAAAUUUGCAUAAGAAAAGUCUUCUCAAGCAAACAUUCACUUUGCUUUCAACUUCUUCAACAUUUAAUACGCAUUCGUGACCGACAAGAUUCAAGAAGAAUUUUUUUAAUACAAAUUUUAAUGCUACAAAUAUGCAAAAAAGUUGCUAAAAUAAAUAAAGUUAUCGAAAAAUUACGAUUCUAAUUCAUGAACGACGAUUUAAGGCACAGUUUUGUAAGAACUCUUAUUCAACUGAUAUCGACAAAUUAAUGGAUUAAAACUUAAAUCUCGCAUCUUUGUCUGAAACGUUUCAUGUUUUAUUUACAUUUGCAGCUCCCACUCGUUUUGGGUAAAUAAUGUUCUUGGCUGAAGUGAAGCAGAUAAGUUUCUCUCUCUCUCUCUCUCCCUCUCUAUGUUUGCUAUCGGAAUUGAAGUUCUAAUUGGUAUCAAUAGUAUCUAAUUGGUAUGACAUAUUACCGCAUUACCGCACUGGCUGAUGAUUUACUAUUUUAAUGGACUCGAUCGCUCGAAACGGAUAGUGUUGACAACUAUCUAGUCAUGGUAAUCAUUUAGUCAAUUAACAGGACCAAAAUAUCAUUAAUGGAAUCGCGCGGGUUUCAUGUGAUGUAUUUCGAUCCGUGCGAAUUGAUUGCUUAAUGGCUUCGCCAAGUACUGAUUAAUAAAAACAGAACUAACAGCAGAACGAACAUCGAACAAAUCAAUUCGCGAAUAUUCCAGAAAAUAUUCCCGACUCGUUUCCGGCUGAACGUAUUACAAGAACGAACAUAAAUACAGUUUGCAAUUACAGUUGAAGGCAGUCUAACCGUUAAUUAAAACAGACGUCUUAAUUAAAUUGUACGCAUCGCGAAUUUCCGUUCGACGAGAUGAAUCAUCCCGUCAAUCGAACAAACCGCGCGGAAUCCGAAACUCGGGGUCAAGUGAAUCGAGCGUUAAAAAAAAAAAAGAAAAAAAGAAAAAAGUUUAGCGGGGGGAAAAAUGAAAUGGAAAAACGUUGCGACGCGUCGCUCGGACGGAAUAAUAUCUGCCGUCGAGCGGACGAAAAAUGGCGUUGGAUGAUCCGUCAACGAUUUAUAUCUUGCAAAAUGCUAAAGAGCGGAACGGCGCUCGUCCGCUCUAUCGAAAAUCCCCCGGCUUUAAUCGCGUGGACGAUAUAUGUUGUCAUCGCGCGGCCACGCGAGCGCACACACAUUUUCGUAGAACAGGCCGCCGCGUACGGCCGACGUGUCCAGCGACGUCGUAUUCCCGCGGUUUCCUGCCUUAGUGCAGUGUGCGACACGUUUCUGACACGUCGCUUGUGUCAGCACGCACAAUGAGGAUGUAUCUAAAUAGGCGAUCGUCGUGUGAAAAGUGUAGGAGGACUCGCAUUCACGCGAUCGACCGCGGUAAUAUAUAAACGCCCCGCGUUUGCGAUGUAUUACGUCUACAAAAAGGGAGGAAAAUCCAAGGGCGGCUUUAUCCGACAAGGCUCUCUCUCUCUCUCUCGCUCCUCUGUUCCCGUGAUAUGGAUAAACUCCGAUCGUACUCCCUGACCUAUAAUAUUUCUGCGGCGAGCGAUAUUUUUUUUUUUUAUUCCCUUUUCUCUCAAACUCAACGUCGCGAAAAUAAAAACGCACGAACUCUAUUGUUAGAUGUUAAUUCGCGACGUAAUUAAAAUCGUUCGAAAAUCUCCCCGGUCUCACUCCUCCCGUAAUCCCACUCUCGCGACACGUGGAAGAAAUAUUUGACACUCGUUGUCCCUAUGGAUUAGCAACUUAAGCUAAGUAUAGACAAAACUGCGUGGUCUCCUCGCGGAGUGGCUCCCGCCUCACGCGUCCCCUGGAGCAAACACUCGCGUUUCUCGAUUUGCACAUUUGACUUUUCGCGGUUUUUUUUUCUUUUGCUCUCUUUUUUUCCUCCCCUCCUUUCUUCGGCGACGGAUGCCGGGAAUGCUGGGUUUGUCCCGACUAUGUUUAGAAAUGGUUUCUCUCGUUGUCCUGCCUGCAACGCGCCUACAUGUCACGAUGCGUGUAGUAAGUACACGUGCGACAUAAAGUAUCGCUUUAGUAGAACCGGGAGGGGAAAAAGCAAGGAUCAUAACCCACGUAACUGUACCGCGCAUAUAUACCAAUCGCGAUCUAAGAUUUCUCUCUUCUCAAAAUUGUGAGAAUCUGUGAUGAGAAGAUGCAGCUGUACGUGUUCAACCGUGAUGUGAUAAUUGCAAAUGAAAUAGGAUAAACUCGGAUAUGAUGCCAUAUUUCUUAAAAAUGCAAAAGCAUACUUUUAUUUUUAUUAUUUUUUAGUAAUAAGCGUUUGAUAUAUUACUUUACCGAAACUUAAAGCAUGUAACAUUAUUAAUAUUUAAAAAAAAACGCUGAAUAAAAAUUUUAUAUUGUUUUUUGAACCAUCUUACGCGAACUGUGAAAGAAAGAUAGUCAUAGUAUUUAUUUCAAAAAUAAAAAAGGAAAUAAAGGAUAUAAUUAUACAUUACAAUUUACAUACCUUUGUUAUGUGUCUAUCGUUAAUUGUGACAACGCAACUGUAAUUUAUUCGACAAUUUUUAAUUAACGCCUAAAAAACUUUGCAGGCAGUCAAAAGUAAAAACGUGAUAUAAUAUUGUUAUUUCGAAUAGUAUACGCACAUAAACUUUGAUUAUCUUUGAAAAUAAUCACAAGAACAUAUUAUUUAUUCAUUAUUGGAAAAAUUAUAGCUAUUGGUCAUUGUCUCCGUAUGACCAUUAUACCCUAAUUUACUUUAUUGCACUACCACUAUAAAUGCAAACGCGCUUCAGGGUGUUCCAGUAUCUUGAAAAUAUAGACUAAACUGAAAUAUAAGUGGACCUGUAAAGCCUUUGUAAUGUAAGAGGGUCAAAAAGUUUCUAGGAUAAUCACUCGUGACGUUGUUCUCGAUUAAUCUCGCGGGAAGAAAUGUCAAAGAGGAGGUCGAUGAUGACCCGUUAUUUUGGCUCACGUUUCGGCAUGGAUAAUUCACGCGCGUUUUAUUGUGCCCAGGUAUUGCAUAUACAAAACUUCAUGAAUAAAUCAUUACUUCAGAAAUAAAGAUAAAAAGUUAUCAACGUUUUCUUUCGCGAUGAUUUUUAUUCUUACUUAAAUAAUACAACACUUCUUUCUCCUAACACGAUAAAUUAAUGCGAUACAAUCAUGUGGCAAGUUGGUUUCAUUAAUACCUAUGCAAAUGCGCGCGAGUUCCGUGUACUGUGAGAGUCUUUGAUCGAGUACGGGAGUUUGACAGGCCGAAAGUAGAUCCAGGAGGAAGGGGGCGAGGGAGUAGAAGAGAGGAAAAUAGUAGCGGAUAUUCAGAAAUGCAGUGCACGACCUCGGCAGAGGGAGCAUAGAGAUCGACCUAACUCACACACUCGUUGCUAUUUAUAUUUCCAAGACAAGGGCGAAGACCUGGAUCAAGGAUUGAGAGUAGAAGUGACAGGGACGGUUUCUUUUUUGCUCCGAAAGGUCGCCGUGAAACAGGAGACGUAAUGAAUGCGACGUCUUACCGAAACGGAUUAUUCUAGCUCAGAAUUAUGAAGUGUCGUGAAAUUUUUAAUCGACGACGUCUUACUUUCGUCAAACUAUUUUCUAUCUCCUUUACUUUAUUCCGUCCUCUACCUAUCCCUGUAUAAAACGUUAGGAAUGUAAGUUACAGUUAUUUACGACACUUUUUUUCGCAAUACCCCUCAUAUUUUUUUUUUUUUAACGUGACGCUAUAUGAAAACCGAGCAGUCGGUAAAAUUGAAAUAACAAACGAGCUAAAUGUCGCGGGGGUAUGAACGAGUGCGCAAUACAAAAAAUCGCGGGGUAUCACUAUUCUUCAUCUCGGCCAAUAUUUUACGCGGUACCGUGUGCACACGAUACACGAAAUAAUUUUCAAAUUGCACUUAAUAAUUUCUUUUAUUAGAGAAAAACAUAUUUUCAUUCGUUGACCUUUUACAUCAGCAAGGCCCGCGCUACCUGCAAACAUCCUCUAUCUGGAUGUUCUGGAUACGUAAAUAAAUUUUAAUUAACAAUCGCGUGCGAGAAAGAGAAAGGUAAAAUUGUAAAACAUCGAAAUUGUAAAACAUCGUGAAAUAAUACCAGCGCGAGAAUAUGUCUGCUUUCAUAAAGCGCAAGCUUGGACACCUGGACAACUCGAAGCGCGCAUUAACGACUUCAAAAUUAUAGCGAGCGCGUCGCAUUAGCGUUAUAACACCGAUUCAUCCCGCGUUACAUUAUUCAACGUGAAUUGCCGUCCGUCGGGUUAAGCGGGUCGCAAAUGCGCUGGUAUAUACGCGCAAUUGGACCGACGCGUGAGCCAACCUGAUAAAAGCGUGUACUUAAGAGUGCGACGCUUUAACGCGCGCGCCGAUUACGUCGCGUUGCCGCGACUUCUUCGCCGGCCGGCUUCGAAAUUGAAUGCGAUGACUCACAGACGGGGUCGCAGAGCACGCGGAUAUUCAUAAUUGCACCGAGCGAGUGUGUGGCGUGGCAAGACACACGCACAAUAAAGCAGAAAAAGGAAAAAGUAUCACAACGGAGAGACUCGCCCACCGUUUGGAUUGUGCGCCUCUCGGAACUGAACCCGCUCGAUUCCCUUUUCUUUCGCAGCCUACCUUUCAAAUGUAUCUGCUUAGCGACAGACCAGACGAGAGACGCACGAAAAAUCCCGGUCCCGCCGGGAUGAUUAAUGAAGGAAGCGGAAGAAAGAGAGAGAGAGAGAGAGAGAGAGAGAGAGACCAAGUGAGGCGCGCGUUGGCGUUGGUAUUUUCCUCCGGCAAAUGUGACGGAGAACGCGGGGAUCGUGUGCAUUUAUUACGGCCGAUAGGAACGGCCGGAAACAUGUCGAGGGAGGGAACGCAGCGUCACUCCGCGAAUAAGGACACCUCGUCUCGUUCGCCGCGAGUUUUAGGACAAUAGGUGGUUUUCAUGGCGCCGAUGUCAUUCCUCGGCGCGAAAAACGUCAGCUCUUCAUCCGAUACCAAGUCUAGAUAGAGCAACGCGAAUUUCUCCACGUUGGAAACAUUCUCAGUGGAGUCGUCCGCGUCGAAAACAUUGAGCUUGUCGAAGCCCGCGGAUGCAGGUAACCGUGACGGAGGUGUAUCGGACGCGGCAUCGUCGUCUACAGAUUUGCUCGCUGACGUAUGUCGAGUUCAUUUCGCGCUAAGUCAACGAGAAGUCGAGGAGCCGAGGAGGCAAAGUCGGGAAAGAUGAAUGUGCGACGAACCGUGAUUCCCAGGUAACGUGACCCGUUUGUAGUUCAAGCGUGUCUGAAUUGCUUUGGCUUCACGAGGCCUGCACUUGUCCGCACUUAGAGCACAACAAGCACACGUUGGGUAGCUCGCUUACGUACGCACUGUUGCUCGCGAUUAAACUUUAUUAGACGCGACCGAUCGGGGAUUAGAGCUUCAGUAACAUAUACAGCUUCGCCGAGUUGAAUAUUUUACUGCUGUGCAAAAAGAAAUACGUUUGACAGAGCAGAUUACGUAAAUAAAAUUAGACUACUUUCCUAAUAUCUGUUGUCUGCGUUGAUACUUUGACUGUUAUUAAAGUUUUGAUCAGAUAGUCGAAUUGGAAUCUAAUGAAUUCCCUUUCUAUUAUAGAAUUAGCACACUCGAGGGCGUUUCUGUGUUAGCUUUGAAAGCUCCGGAGAAACGUGUAGAUAUUGAAGUUUGUACGUGCUCUUGUAAUUUGCAAAAUUUGAACGAGAAUCAUCAGACAGAUAGAAGCUAGAGGUCAAUGGCUAAUAAUAUAAUGGAGAUCGAGAUGCAAUAAAGACUUAUUUAUUUUAAGGAUUUAUUGAUAAGUAAUUAAAAUAGAACGUAAACUUUUGGUAAAGUAAUCCGGUAUAAAAGUAGUAAAGAAAGAGACAAAAACGGGGAAAAAAAA
rnacentral:lncRNA from 1 species